rnacentral:rRNA from 1 species
AAGACGACGACGGGUAGCCGGCCUGAGAGGGCGACCGGCCACACUGGGACUGAGACACGGCCCAGACUCCUACGGGAGGCAGCAGUGGGGAAUAUUGCACAAUGGGGGAAACCCUGAUGCAGCGACGCAGCGUGCGGGAUGACGGCCUUCGGGUUGUAAACCGCUUUCAGCAGGGAAGAAGCGCAAGUGACGGUACCUGCAGAAGAAGUACCGGCUAACUACGUGCCAGCAGCCGCGGUAAUACGUAGGGUACGAGCGUUGUCCGGAAUUAUUGGGCGUAAAGAGCUCGUAGGUGGUUGGUCACGUCUGCUGUGGAAACGCAACGCUUAACGUUGCGCGUGCAGUGGGUACGGGCUGACUAGAGUGCAGUAGGGGAGUCUGGAAUUCCUGGUGUAGCGGUGAAAUGCGCAGAUAUCAGGAGGAACACCGGUGGCGAAGGCGGGACUCUGGGCUGUAACUGACACUGAGGAGCGAAAGCAUGGGGAGCGAACAGGAUUAGAUACCCUGGUAGUCCAUGCCGUAAACGUUGGGCACUAGGUGUGGGGGGCAUUCCACGUUCUCCGCGCCGUAGCUAACGCAUUAAGUGCCCCGCCUGGGGAGUACGG